AAUACUUUUAGCAUCAUACACAUAAUUCAUCAACAACGUUUGUCUUAAACCAAUUUAACUGAGGGUAGUGUUGGAUUUUAGAAACCUAAGAAUUUGAUGAUGGAGCUCCUUGCGUAUUCUUCACCCUCAGUGAUUUAUUAUAUAAAUAUUAAUUUAAGAGAAUAACUUACUCAAAUCAUUAAGUAAUCCACGACUAUUAUACACUCAUACUUUGAGUUUGAAUUACAAAAAAAAC
rnacentral:sRNA from 1 species